CGUGGGCAAUCUGUCUUAAAGUGGGGGAUAGCUCGGCGAAAGCCGAAUUAAUACCGCAUGUGAUUAGAGUGGACAUCCAUUCAAAAUUAAAGUCGGGGCAACCUGACGCUUUUUGAGGAGCCCGCGGCCUAUCAGCUAGUUGGUGAGGUAACGGCUCACCAAGGCUUUGACGGGUAGCUGGUCUGAGAGGACGACCAGCCACACUGGGACUGAGACACGGCCCAGACACCUACGGGUGGCAGCAGUCGAGAAUUUUUCUCAAUGGGGGAAACCCUGAAGGAGCGACGCCGCGUGGAGGAUGAAGGUCUUCGGAUUGUAAACUCCUGUCAUUGGGGAACAAUGCGUGACGGUUAACUGCCGUCGCGUUGAUAGUACCCGAAGAGGAAGAGACGGCUAACUCUGUGCCAGCAGCCGCGGUAAUACAGAGGUCUCAAGCGUUGUUCGGAUUCAUUGGGCGUAAAGGGUGCGUAGGCGGCGCGGUAAGUCGGGUGUGAAAUCUCGGAGCUUAACUUCGAAACUGCAUUCGAUACUGCCGUGCUUGAGGACUGGAGAGGAGACUGGAAUUUACGGUGUAGCGGUGAAAUGCGUAGAUAUCGUAAGGAAGACCAGUGGC
rnacentral:rRNA from 1 species